rnacentral:rRNA from 1 species
AUGAAGUCAAGAUUGGGAGAUUGGGAAUACCAAAUACCAGAUCUGGAACAAAUAUGUAAGAAGCACGAAGCACAUGCGCCAUCCAUGGGCAAAUCACAAGAUCUCACAAGUAAAAAAAUGCACGAACAUGGGAGACAUCGGGCAGUUCCUGCUGCUUUUUGGAUGGGAUGGACCAGCGACUUGGAACCUGAUGGGCCUCAUUCUGCCAUCCGCGCUGCUCCAAUCUAUGGGGCGGUAGAUCUGGCAGAGCAAGGGGCGCGGGGAAGGCGCCGUUGGCGGCGGGCUCCCACCCACCCCUCUCGAAUCGAUGGGGUGUGGAUCUUGCAGAGCAACGACCGUUGUGAAGGCUAG